AAUCAGUUUAGAGGAUUACCCAAUGAAGACCCUCAUGAGCACAUUUGUAAUGUCUUGGAGUAUGCCAAUACUGUCCAGUACCAUGGCGUUUCCCAAGAUGCUAUCAAGUGUAUGCUGUUCACAUUCUCUCUCCGAGAUGCUGCUAAGGACUGGUACUAUUCUUUGCCAUCAAGAUCAUACACUUGGGGUGAUAUUUCGCAAGCUUUCCUACACAGAUAUUUUCCACUUUACGAGCAAGCUGCAAUUCAUGACCAGAUCCUCAGUUUUGCACAAGAUGGAAGUGAGAGCUUGUAUGCAGCUUGGGAGAGAUAUAAGUAUUUGCUUAGAAAAUGUCCUAAUCAUGGGCAAAAGGAUUGGUUAGUGCUCCAGAUAUUCUAUAGAGGGCUAACACAUGCUUCGAGAGAUCUUAUUGAUAUGUCCGCUGGUGGAACAAUCAUGAACAAGACCGUUGAGGGUGCAAUUAUUCUCAUUGAGAGCAUUUCCUUCCACCAAAUGCAAUGGGGUUAUUAA
rnacentral:rRNA from 1 species